rfam:Phlebiopsis gigantea 11061_1 CR5-6 unplaced genomic scaffold PHLGIscaffold_11, whole genome shotgun sequence.
GGGGCCAUGGCGCAACGGUAGCGCGUCUGAUUCCAGCCAGGGUGCAAAUCCGCGGCUCCAGAAGGUUGAGUGUUCAAGUCACUCUGGCCUCA